rnacentral:lncRNA from 1 species
UAGGAGGAACGCGGUGGGAGGAAGGCUUGCGGGCGUGCGGACUCGGCUUCGGGCCGAGCGCUUUGAAGAAUUUUGCAGAACCCUGCUACCUACAGACUCUGCCAUGGAUGUCAUGUAAAGAAACCCCGGAUGUAGUAACGGACAAAACAUGAGUCAGUUUGUGUUGUGGCAUUCAGAUCUGAACACACUGGGAGAGAUUGUGGAGGACCCGAGGAACUUACGGAGUUUGUUUGUUUUCUGUCCACUGUGACUCCAGAAGUGAUUCUGAAUGGAGAAGACGUAGGACCGGUCAGUGGUAGGAUGGACUGUGCUUGGAAGAACGAAUUGCAUAGACUUUGAGAAUUGAGCCUGCCAGGAACAAGACAGUUGGCCUCUGAUGGAGAAGCUGGCCUCUGAUGGAGAAGCUGGCCUCUGAUGGAGAAGCUUCUUACUGCCUGUGACUGACUUUCUUCUUCUUUGACCCCUCCCCUGAACCCGAAACUCCUCACAUUGAUCUUUAUGACCUUGCAUGUAGAAAUACUAGCUACCAGUGAAAAAGCCCAAGAGACACUAAUUGGAUAUCUUGACUGUCCUUGGUCUGUAUGCCCUGCCCUUAUGAAUCUAGUAUCUGCCACUGGCCUUUCUUUUCUACCUUCUAAAUACCUUUAAAUUCCCUCUUUUAGGUCUAGCCUGUACCUUACUCUGUUGUCAGAUUUCCUGAGCCUCUGUAAAAGCCCCUCGCUUGGUUCUCUAUAUUUACUCUCCUUCCCU